rnacentral:rRNA from 1 species
UACGAAGGGGGCUAGCGUUGCUCGGAAUUACUGGGCGUAAAGGGCGCGUAGGCGGCACUGUUAGUCAGGCGUGAAAGUCCUGGGCUCAACCUGGGAACUGCGCUUGAUACGGCAGAGCUAGAGGAUGGAAGAGGCUCGCGGAAUUCCCAGUGUAGAGGUGAAAUUCGUAGAUAUUGGGAAGAACACAGGUGGCGAAGGCGGCGAGCUGGUCCAUUACUGACGCUGAGGCGCGACAGCGUGGGGAGCAAACAGG